rnacentral:misc_RNA from 1 species
AUUUGCUUCCCUUCUUCCCCGUCAGCUCUCAAGCCCGAUAAUAUCUUCUUCAGACGCCCAUUCUGUUGCGACGAGGAAGCGGACACCAUUGCUGAACUCGGCAGUAAAUCAUCCAAACCAGCACCCAAUUUUCUCAACAGUCCUUGAAGUGCACUACUUGCUGAAGUCAAAUUAUGUUGCAAAAUCCCAGCACCACCUUCACUUUCAUUAUCAUCUUCAUCACCCCCAUCAGUAUCCAUGUUCAAUCCCAUAUCUCUGUCUCUAUCCCUAAUUUCGUGCUCUUUCUCCUUACCCUUCUCCGGAUUAUUUCUAUCUAACCCGUGAUUCUUUCCCCGCCUGGUUCGGCUGCCAGACCCGGAUGAUUCAUUCGUGGAGUCCAUCGAUUGUAGGUCUUGGGAACGAUUUGUGAGUCGGGAACGAGUUGAGAUCGAGUUUGAGGCGGCGCGUGUGGUAAAACGAGCUUUCUUAACAGCGCGUGUGGUGGGACCUGAUGAAGGAGAAGAAGCAGAAGGCGCUGAUGACGUGGCCUCCGUUCGUUUCCGGCUCCGAGUUUCCAUACAAAACCGAACAGCGAACAGAAAACAAGGUCGCCGAUUAAUCGGCGAUCAGACACAGUCCAG